AUGCCGCGCUGCAUCCCCCCCCGCUACCUCCGGCCCCGCGGGGCUCCCCCCGACCCCGGCCCCGACGGCCCCGGGGACGCCCCGACGGAGCUUCCCCGCCGCCCCCGGCGCAGCAGCGGGGCGAGCCGCCCCCCCUCUCCGCUCCCCCCCCCCGGUGACUCACUCUCAGAGGUCCCCGCCGCGGCGGCGGAGGCGCAGGGCAGCCGCGGGUCCCCGCCCGCCGAGCGGCAUCUCCCGAGCAGCGGCGACCGGGGCAGCCCGGCGGCGGCUGGGGGAGGCGCCGAGCGAGAGAAGCAGCGCUGGAACCAACGGGAACGGCUGGAACCAACGGAAACCAACGCGCCCGCCCCCGGCCGCCGCCACCACCGAGAGCCGCGGGCGGGGGCACGUGCGGCCGCGCCGCCCCCCGGCUCCCGCCUCCUCCUCCUCCUCCUCCUCCUCCCCGGCCCCGAGCUGCCCCCGGCCCGGCCCCCCCCCCGCGGAGCCGCACGCCCACCUCCUGCUCCUCCCGCCCGGCCGGUGCGCCCCGGGCGCGCUCCCGCCGCAGCCCGGCGCGUUCCCGCGGCGCGAGGCACCUCCCGGCCCGGCGGGGCACGAGGCGCGCUCCCGGCUCGGGAUGGGGGGGAGCCGCGGACCGGUCCUGCCCCCCCCGGGGGGGUCGCUGCUGUCUGCGGGUGGGCGAGGGGCUGCGCCCGGGGGCUUCUUCCUGCGCGUUCAGCGGCACCGGCUGCGGGCAGCACAGCGAGGGGUGACACCCCCCCCCCCGGCAGCACAGCGAGGAGCGAGCCCCCCCGGCUCAGUGCAGGACCCAUUUCUACCCCUGCACCCAACGCCCCGGGGAUGGGCACCCAAGGCAGCAGCAAGGAGCGAGGUUUUGGUUCCUCAUUGCAAAUGUUGCAAAAACCAAGUUGGUGCACGGAGCCCAUGGGGUGCAGGCUCACAACACAGCCAGGGUUAAUGAAACCUCGCUGCGUGCCUCAGCCCCUUACCCUUCCUUCUCUUCAACUCGAAGGCAAGGACCUCUGGGCGCUGAUCUUGGUGCUCCCUCAGCAGCUGGAUGCAAUCCUCCUUCCCCGAGCUUUCCGCAGGAGCAGACCUCCGGCUCCCCCAGCCCUCCCAUCCUCCUGCCAUUUGCCUCCUCUCUCAGGAAGCCGGCUGAGCGCUGGUGCAGACCCGCAGUGCAAUAUUCUGCAAGCCACUGGCUGCUAGAGGCCCUGUUCUGCCCUUUCUCCUCUGGCUCUCCAGCGGCUGUGCAAGCUCGCUAAAAUAGUAAUGAGCGCCAUCUGUUUGAGCAGCACAGCUCCAUUUAAUCAGGUGUGGCCGGACGGUCGUGUCCCCUCUCCUGAACCUGGGAGAGGUUACACAACACAGAUGCAGCAAUCAGGUCCUCACGGACCUGCCAGAGUCACCGUAAGCACCUCAGAGCUUUUUCUGGCUCGAGUGAUCCGUUUGUGGUUUCCAGCAGUUAAGGUUGUGGCGAAGCUUCCCCAGUUACAUUGCCUGGGAAACAUCUGGAACACCCGCAGCCUGCUGGAGUCAGUGACUUCCCCUGAACUCAGCGCAGGGGCUGGCCCGAGGUGUUACUCCUGUCCUGCAGAGUCCACGUGUGGCACUCCGGGAACAGGCCCCACUCCCCCUUCCCCUCCUGACCCGUUUGUUCCUGCCUCCAAGCGCUUUGAGGAACCCUCUGGAGAGAACCCUCGGGGUUACGCAGAGCAGCAACGUGAGCGCAGACGAUGAAAUGCACCAAGCACACCACAUCCAUCCAAACAUCCAUUCUGUAUGAUGAACGUGUAUAUUUUUAGCCCUCGGGGAUGCAGCAGCAGCCCAGAGCCCAGCCUCGCUGCCCUGUCAGGGAGGCAGCAGCCUUGUUCUCACGCCCUGCCAAACAAUGGGAGCGCUCAGCCAGGAUGGCUCCUUGCUAUGCCCCGCUGUGCUAUUUUCUCACGGUUCAUUGAGGCCGAAGAUGCUUUAGGCAGCAGAUUUGGAGAACGGGGAAGCGGGAACGCGGGAGAGAGAAGCUCUGCAAAAUUUCUCCGCAUUCGAGCCCCCGAGCUGGGUCCCUGCCGACAUCUGUUCCUGGAAGCUGGUGCCGCUCGGGAGGCGCGCGUGCAGCGGGGCGAUGCUGCGGGAUUGCUAGGCAACCCCACGCUGCCAGCAGCAAGGGGCCGGGGAGCAGCACGCAGCCGGGGCUCGCACCCGCUCCCCAGCAGGGAAAAGCGGGCAGGGGGAGCGGAGCCCACCGAGGAGCCUCACUGGGGGCCAGGAGCAGUGCCGGGGCCUGGCCGGGGAGAGGAGGAGGAGGAGGAGGAGGAGUGGCGAGGGGACGGGAACGGAGAAUGCGCGAGAGCAGCAGCUGAGGGAAGAGAAGCAGUUAGGAAAACACGAGUCAACAAAACCCUGCCUUUUGGCAAGGUUGUUAUGUGAACCAGAAGGAAUGAGUAUUAAUCUGGAAAAAAAUAUUUGUUUUUCUUAGCUUUUUUUCACAGCCUAUUUGCCAUUUAGAGCCUCAGUUUGGAGGAAGGCAGAGUUGUUAAAUCGCUGCUGCUUUUUUUGCCGUAACGAUGAGGUUUUCCUUUUCAUAGCUGUGGCUGGGGAAGAGACCUGUUGCGGCUCUGCCUGGGGGUUUUCUUGCACGCAGAUGCUAUGAGCAGGGGCCACAGCAGAACCACGGCACGUGGGGACCCUCCUCGUCCCCAGCACUGAACGUCUCAUCCCUGUUUUUCCCUCUGCAGAACCCAAACAAGGAGAGUGCCAAACAGCCAGUUCCAGAUCUGCAGAAAUCAUCUCUGCGAUGCAACAGAUGGUGCUUGGCCCGAGGAGAGCAGAGCAGAGCAGAGCAGAAGGCUGCAGCAGCCCCCCCCCGGGUCACCCUCAGAGGCUCCUGGGACCCUCGACCCGCAGGUGCCCAGACCAGGCUCACCCCCCCCUCUAAAGCUUUGCUCGCUCUCCCAGCCCUUUGCUCACCUGGUGCCCAAUACCCAAGGAGGCACUGCCUGCGCAGGUGAUGCUCAGCGCUCGUUUGGCUCUGAGGUGGCACAGCUGAGCCCAUCCCUGCACAGGGGUGAGCUCACCGAGCCCUGCCUCGGAUCAAAGGCCCGGAGGCACCUCGCUUCAGGAGCCUCCCCAGAGGUCUGGGGAAGAAUACUGGGUGCCUGCACAGCCACGGCAUGGACGGGGCAAUGACAAGGCAGAGCUCAGAUUUUUUUUUGGCAUGUGUCAGAAGCCCUGACCCAAAAAACCCGAAGCAGAACGUGUAACACCCGAUCAGAAAGUGAACGCGCGCCUGGUCAUGGACAAGCUCAGCCUACAAAGCAUUCUCCAGCACCGGAGAGUCGAGAGCCAUGAUAAUGUGCUCUGAAAUAAUGCUUUUUUAAAUACAAUUUAUGAUAGAUUUCAUAGCUAAGUUAUGCAACAUAAUGAGCAAAUCUAAAAUGUAAUUGUCACUGCGCAUUAACAGCAAAAUCCUGAACCUCUAUUAUACUAACAAACUUAUUAAAUCAGUGAACAUUGCAUUGCAUCAGUCAAUUACUAAACCGAUGCUCAGAUCACUGGAACAAUCUGAUAUCCAUUAGACAGGCAGAAGGAGGGGAGCACAUCACUGGAGCUGCCCACGGGGUGACAUGUUUUAAAACAUUCAAUGUAUUUACGCUUUUGAUGCAGUGCUGCUCCUGCGGGAUGUUUUGCUGCCACUUCCCCUGUUCCCAACGCAUCCCUAGAGUGCCGCUGUGCUGCGCAUGCACUCGAUGGGAAAAGGGCUGGGAUCCAGCCUCACAACGCUGCCUUCUCCGAGGAGCCUGAAGUUUGCCAGGGAGCCUGCAGGCCUGGGCCCCCUGGGGCAGGCACAGAUCUGAGAUCAUCCCUGGCUCCACAGCGGGCUGGCGGACACCCGCCAGGGCCACACGUUUUCAGCAAAGGGCAUUUGCUGCAACAGCAGGACACAGCACGUGAAGGCUGGCACAGACUCGGCCGUGUGCCCCCCGGUGCUCAGUGCCCAUCCGCUGCUGAAACCCCGUCCCCAGCAGCGCUCCCUCCUCGCGAGGUUGGUAAGCACGGGGUAAGCCGAUCCUGGAAAGGCAUCCACGCAAACAUCUAAAGUAAAGUGUGCUUUGCACCUUGGUGUAGUGAUUUGACACAGCACUAAUUAUGCAAAUUAAUCAUCGGUAAAUCAGGUACGUGUUUACUUAUUUAUUUUGCGUUUUGCACAGCAACCAGGCAGGAGGAGUGUUGUGAAAGAAAAGCUGCUCUAUUUAUUCUGAUAAGAAAUGUUUGGUAACAUGUUGCAUGAUCCAACCUCCCCACGUUCUUUUUCAGAUUAAAUUCUAAAUUGAUUUGCUGGUAUCAUACCGUUCAUAGCUCUCAAUAUGUCAUCGCGGCUAAUGAACCAUGCCAGGGACACAUUUAUAACCCUCUAUUAGCCUCUUCCAUCAGGAAGGGAUUUUUUUUCCCCCCUCCUUGCUCUGAGGUUCUGAAAGUUACAAAACAAAAUAAAUCAAAAACCGACCAAACAAACCACCGGAACCAGAAGCAGCAGCAGACGUUACUGGAACUCAGACACUCCUGUGGCUGCCUCCGCUCCCACCUCGGGAUGUGGCUUUGAUGCGAGCUGCAAAGCAGCCCGGGAUAAGUCACCCAAACCCCACCGAUUCCCUACGCCCAGCCGAGCAGAGCUCGGGCUGCUUUCUGAGCACCGUUUACAAACUUCCUCAAGCAGCAGCCUCAGUGCACAGAAGGCAGAGAAGGAAGGCAGCUGCUGAGACCUUCCUGGGGCAAGUCCCUGCAGCUGGGACUGGGGACCCUGCUCUGGAGGUGCCCCCAGUGCAGCACCACCGAGGUGGCCGUGCCGUGCAGAGCCCGCUCUGUGCCCCCACGCCUGCCGCAGCAGCUCCAUGCACAGCCUGCACCUCCCAAGCUGGGUCUGCUCCUCGGCACCAGGCAGGGCAGCCCCACGGACCCACCAGCGUUUUGUCACCUCAAAGCAAACACUUCUGCGCUUGGUUUCUCUGCCUGCGUGCUUUCCCAAGUGAGGGUUGGGACAAAAUUCCCGCUUUUUGGAUGCAGCUCAUCUCCAGUGGUGAAUGGCCGAGGCUGGGAGAUGGUGGUGGGAAGAGAAAUGCAGUAGUGAUAGAGGGGCUGCCCUCACCUUGUGGUGAUUGCUGCAUGUGCUGCAGGAAGACAGCGUUUAAACCAUGAGUCGAGUCCCCCUUCAUUCCAAAUGUAGUGCUUCAGGAACGGAGAGACAACUCUAUCGGGGGAACAAGAGCUAAUUAAAUUUACUGGGAUCAUUGAAGAGGAAAUUAUUUAAUAUUCUGCAUGGAAUUUAAUAUCGGAAAGCAUGAAGGGCCUUGUUCCAUCAGAGAUCGGUUCCUUCCCACACCCCAGUUCACACUGCACACCCAGCCCUGCCGCAGGCCAGGGGCAGCACAGCGGUGCCGGGUGGCCAUGAGAACCUGGGCUGGGGAGCAGCACCCAUGGGCUGCUGCUGCAAGAGCACCCUCUGUGCUCCCAGGGCAUCCUCUGUGCUCCCGACUGCUGCCACACUGGGCACCCAUGGGGUACAGGGCUGCCUUGUCUCAGGUGAGCACCCACAUCCACACGGGGCCAUCAGCACUGACCUUAAACACCGUCAUCCAGCCCCGUUCUGACAGCCAAAACGUUGUGGCAGCUUAACCCACCCCCACACACAAAUUUUGCUGCUCAGCCCAAGUUGCAGCCUGGGCAGGGUGCUCCAGGUUCUGGGAUCAGGAGGACAGGGAGUGAACGCUCUCCCUGGCCGUGCACCUCUGCGCUGCCGGCUCCCCGCAGCAGCCUCCCCCCGUUUGCACUGCAGCAGGAUCCGACUGUUCCCAUUCCAUGCACUUCGUGCCUGCAGCUCUCCAGCUUGCCCCGGC
rnacentral:lncRNA from 1 species